rfam:Danio rerio unplaced genomic contig CTG2934, GRCz11 reference primary assembly.
GUCUCUGUGGCGCAAUCGGUUAGCGCGUACGGCUGAUAACUGGAUGGUUGGUGGUUCAAGCCCACCCAGGGACG